CAGGCGACUACGGGUAGCCGGCCUGAGAGGGCGACCGGCCACACUGGGACUGAGACACGGCCCAGACUCCUACGGGAGGCAGCAGUGGGGAAUAUUGCACAAUGGGCGCAAGCCUGAUGCAGCGACGCCGCGUGAGGGAUGACGGCCUUCGGGUUGUAAACCUCUUUCAGCAGGGAAGAAGCGCAAGUGACGGUACCUGCAGAAGAAGCGCCGGCUAACUACGUGCCAGCAGCCGCGGUAAUACGUAGGGCGCGAGCGUUGUCCGGAAUUAUUGGGCGUAAAGAGCUCGUAGGCGGCCUGUCGCGUCGGUUGUGAAAGCCCGGGGCUCAACCCCGGGUCUGCAGUCGAUACGGGCAGGCUAGAGUUCGGUAGGGGAGAUCGGAAUUCCUGGUGUAGCGGUGAAAUGCGCAGAUAUCAGGAGGAACACCGGUGGCGAAGGCGGAUCUCUGGGCCGACACUGACGCUGAGGAGCGAAAGCGUGGGGAGCGAACAGGAUUAGAUACCCUGGUAGUCCACGCCGUAAACGGUGGGCACUAGGUGUGGGCGACAUUCCACGUCGUCCGUGCCGCAGCUAACGCAUUAAGUGCCCCGCCUGGG
rnacentral:rRNA from 1 species